AGCCAGCCGCCGAAGGUGGGACAGAUGAUUGGGGUGAAGUCGUAACAAGGUAGCCGUAUCGGAAGGUGCGGCUGGAUCACCUCCUUU
rnacentral:rRNA from 1 species